rnacentral:rRNA from 1 species
UACGAAGGGUGCAAGCGUUGUUCGGAUUUAUUGGGCGUAAAGCGCGCGCAGGCGGAUAUGUAAGCCAGAUGUGAAAUCUCGGGGCUCAACCUCGAAACUGCGUCUGGAACUGCUUAUCUAGAGUCUUGGAGAGGGAAGUGGAAUCUCGCAUGUAGGGGUAAAAUCCGUAGAGAUGCGAGGGAACACCAGAGGCGAAGGCG